CCUUUGACGUUAGCGGCGGACGGGCGAGUAACACGUGGGUAACCUACCUAUAAGACUGGGAUAACUUCGGGAAACCGGAGCUAAUACCGGAUAAUAUUUCGAACCGCAUGGUUCGAUAGUGAAAGAUGGUUUUGCUAUCACUUAUAGAUGGACCCGCGCCGUAUUAGCUAGUUGGUAAGGUAACGGCUUACCAAGGCGACGAUACGUAGCCGACCUGAGAGGGUGAUCGGCCACACUGGAACUGAGACACGGUCCAGACUCCUACGGGAGGCAGCAGUC
rnacentral:rRNA from 1 species